AGUGAACGCUGGCGGUAGGCCUGACACAUGCAAGUCGAACGGCAGCACAGUAAGAGCUUGCUCUUACGGGUGGCGAGUGGCGGACGGGUGAGGAAUACAUCGGAAUCUACUUUUUCGUGGGGGAUAACGUAGGGAAACUUACGCUAAUACCGCAUACGACCUACGGGUGAAAGCAGGGGAUCUUCGGACCUUGCGCGAUUGAAUGAGCCGAUGUCGGAUUAGCUAGUUGGCGGGGUAAAGGCCCACCAAGGCGACGAUCCGUAGCUGGUCUGAGAGGAUGAUCAGCCACGCUGGAACUGAGACACGGUCCAGACUCCUACGGGAGGCAGCAGUGGGGAAUAUUGGACAAUGGGCGCAAGCCUGAUCCAGCCAUACCGCGUGGGUGAAGAAGGCCUUCGGGUUGUAAAGCCCUUUUGUUGGGAAAGAAAAGCAGCAGGUUAAUACCCCGCUGUUCUGACGGUACCCAAAGAAUAAGCACCGGCUAACUUCGUG
rnacentral:rRNA from 1 species